rnacentral:misc_RNA from 1 species
GAUGAAGAACGUAGCGAAAUGCGAUAAGUAAUGCGAAUUGCAGAAUUUCCGUGAAUCAUCGAAUCUUUGAACGCACAUUGCGCCCGCCAGUAUUCUGGCGGGCAUGCCUGUUCGAGCGUCAUUUCAACCAUCAAGCCCUGCUUGCGUUGGGGUCCUGCGGCUGCCCGCAGGCCCUGAAAACCAGUGGCGGGCUCGCUAGUCACACCGAGCGCAGUAAUACAUCUCGCUUUGGGCGUGCGGCGGGUUCUUGCCGUUAAACACCCCCUUUUUACCAAGGUUGACCUCGGAUCAGGUAGGAAUACCCGCUGAACUUAAGCAUAUCAAUAAGCGGAGGA